rnacentral:rRNA from 1 species
UACGGAGGGUGCGAGCGUUGUCCGGAAUCACUGGGCGUAAAGGGCGCGUAGGCGGACAUUUUAAGUCAGGGGUGAAAUCCCAGAGCUCAACUCUGGAACUGCCUUUGAUACUGGGUGUCUUGAGUGUGAGAGAGGUAUGUGGAACUCCGAGUGUAGAGGUGAAAUUCGUAGAUAUUCGGAAGAACACCAGUGGCGAAGGCGACAUACUGGCUCAUUACUGACGCUGAGGCGCGAAAGCGUGGGGAGCAAACAGG